UGUAGAUGUGCAAGUGUUAGUAUUGUCAGCGAGUAUUUGGUGACUUUCUUUAUUAGUGCAUCCUGUGAGAAACUGAGAAUAAAGGUUACAGUUAAGAAUAAAAUCCAAGCUGUUGGGUCUUGUGAGUGGGACUUUCGCCUCUGCUGCAGAGUAGGACGGGGGGUCGCAAGGAAAGGGAAAAAAUAAAUUCGAUAUUCCGUUUU